rnacentral:lncRNA from 1 species
CGGAGUCCCUGAACUGCUAUGGCUACCGGUGGCGGCGUGACCUCCAGAGAGGGGCUGCGCUACGCCGAAUACCUGCCUCCUUCUGCCCAAAGGCCGGACGCCGACAUCGACCACACAGCGGUCGCUAUGCAUUUCAAAUCUGGAAACCUCUAGAACAAGUACUCACUGCAACAGCAAGGAAGAUUUCCUCUCCAAGCUUUUCAUCCUACUAUAAAGGAGGAUUCGAGCAGAAAAUGAGUAGGCGAGAAGCCAGUCUCAUUUUAGGAGUAAGCCCAUCUGCUGGCAAGGCCAAGAUUAGAACAGCACACAAGAGAAUUAUGAUUUUAAACCAUCCCGACAAAGGUGGAUCUCCUUACUUAGCAUCCAAAAUAAAUGAAGCAAAAGAUUUGC